rnacentral:rRNA from 1 species
UCCAGACUCCUACGGGAGGCAGCAGUGAGGAAUAUUGGUCAAUGGGCUUACGCCUGAACCAGCCAAGUCGCGUGAGGGAAGACUGCCCUAUGGGUUGUAAACCUCUUUUGUCAGGGGGCAACGCCGGCUACGUGUAGCCGGACUGAGAGUACCCGAAGAAAAAGCAUCGGCUAACUCCGUGCCAGCAGCCGCGGUAAUCCGGAGGAUGCGAGCCUUAUCCGGAUUUAUUGGGUUUAAAGGGUGCGCAGGCGGAGGUGCAAGUCAGCGGUGAAAUUGCGGGGCUCAACCCCGUACGGCCGUUGAAACUGGCGUUCUUGAGUGGGAGAGAAGUAUGCGGAAUGCGUGGUGUAGCGGGGAAAUGCAUAGAUAUCACGCAGAACUCCGAUUGCGAAGGCAGCAUACCGGCGCCCAACUGACGCUGAAGCACGGAAGCGUGGGUAUCGAACAGGAUUAGAUACCCGGGUAUC